rnacentral:rRNA from 1 species
UGGGGAAUUGUUCGCAAUGGGCGCAAGCCUGACGACGCAACGCCGCGUGGAGGAUGAAGAUCUUCGGGUCGUAAACUCCUGUCGAAUGGGACGAACGGGUUGCGGGUGAAUAACCCGUAACCGUGACGGUACCGUUAAAGGAAACCCCGGCUAACUCCGUGCCAGCAGCCGCGGUAAUACGGGGGGGGUAAGCGUUGUUCGGAAUUACUGGGCGUAAAGGGCUCGUAGGCGGCCAACUAAGUCAGACGUGAAAUCCCUCAGCUUAACUGGGGAACUGCGCCUGAUACUGGAUGGCUUGGAUCCGGGAGAGGGAUGCGGAAUUCCAGGUGUAGCGGUGAAAUGCGUAGAUAUCUGGAGGAACACCGGUGGCGAAGGCGGCAUCCUGGACCGGCAUUGACGCUGAGGAGCGAAAGCCAGGGGAGCAA